rnacentral:rRNA from 1 species
AAAGGUGGCUUUUGGGCUGUCGCAGAUGGAUGAGCCUGCGUUGGAUUAGCUAGUUGGUGGGGUAAGGGCCUACCAAGGCUACGAUCCAUAGCUGAUUUGAGAGGAUGAUCAGCCACAUUGGGACUGAGACACGGCCCAAACUCCUACGGGAGGCAGCAGUGAGGAAUAUUGGACAAUGGGGGCAACCCUGAUCCAGCAAUGCCAUGUGUGUGAAGAAGGCCUUAGGGUUGUAAAGCACUUUAGUUGGGGAAGAAAGCUUUGAGGUUAAUAGCCUUGAGGAAAAGGACGUUACCCAAAGAAUAAGCACCGGCUAACUCCGUGCCAGCAGCCGCGGUAAUACGGGGGGUGCAAGCGUUAAUCGGAAUUACUGGGCGUAAAGGGUCUGUAGGUGGUUUGUUAAGUCAGAUGUGAAAGCCUAGGGCUCAACCUUGGAACUGCAUUUGAUACUGGUAAACUAGAGUACGGUAGAGGAAUGGGGAAUUUCUGGUGUAGCGGUGAAAUGCGUAGAGAUCAGAAGGAACACCAAUGGCGAAGGCAACAUUCUGGACCGAUACUGACACUGAGGGACGAAAGCGUGGGGAUCAAACAGGAUUAGAUACCCUGGUAGUCCACGCUGUAAACGAUGAGUACUAGCUGUUGGAGUCGGUGUAAAGGCUCUAGUGGCGCAGCUAACGCGAUAAGUACUCCGCCUGGGGACUACGGCCGCAAGGCUAAAACUCAAAGGAAUUGACGGGGACCCGCACAAGCGGUGGAGCAUGUAGUUUAAUUCGAUGCAACGCGAAGAACCUUACCUGGUCUUGACAUCCUGCGAUCUUUCUAGAGAUAGAUUGGUGCCUUCGGGAACGCAGUGACAGGUGCUGCACGGCUGUCGUCAGCUCGUGUUGUGAA